rnacentral:misc_RNA from 1 species
AAGUCGUAACAAGGUAACCGUAGGUGAACCUGCGGUUGGAUCAUUAUUAAAAACUAUGUGUUUGCUUUAGCAAAUGCAUUAAAAGAGUAUUAAACGCAAGUUUAAUCUCUUUAACACCAACCUUGUGAAUUUGUUAUCGUCUUUGGGUUAUUAGUAGUACUUUAAGUAGUACUAUUAUAGCCCUACUCAUUAUAAACAUUUUCUUUUACUAAUUAAAUCGAGUUUUAAGAGAACUCUAAAUCAAAUGAAAAAAAAAACUUUUGACAACGGAUCUCUUGGCUCUC